rnacentral:rRNA from 1 species
CAGUAGCCGCGGGAAUACGUAGGUGGCAAGCGUUAUCCGGAAUUAUUGGGCGUAAAGCGCGCGUAGGCGGUUUCUUAAGUCUGAUGUGAAAGCCCACGGCUCAACCGUGGAGGGUCAUUGGAAACUGGGAAACUUGAGUGCAGAAGAGGAAAGUGGAAUUCCAUGUGUAGCGGUGAAAUGCGCAGAGAUAUGGAGGAACACCAGUGGCGAAGGCGACUUUCUGGUCUGUAACUGACGCUGAUGUGCGAAAGCGUGGGGAUCAAACAGGAUUAGAUACCCGCGUAGUCCCUGUCUCCUUAUU